rnacentral:pre_miRNA from 1 species
CAUAAUGUUUGACUCUUCAUCUUAUUAAAAAAAUUUACGAUUUAUAUUUUUGUUUUUAUUAGAUGAUAAAUCAUGAAUAAUACUUAACGUGUUACUAAUUUUCUUUCAAUUUCUUAAAAAAAUUUAAAUAAGACAGAUGAUCAAACGCUGAACACGGGAACGGACGGC